GGCCGGUGAUGUAAGAAAAUAUUUGCUACUCUUGAUGGCUUGGCCACCUGAUGAUAUUUUAACUACCAAGAUCUCUGAGGCC